AGAUUGAACGCUGGCGGCAGGCCUAACACAUGCAAGUCGAGCGGUAGAGAGGUGCUUGCAUCUCUUGAGAGCGGCGGACGGGUGAGUAAUGCCUAGGAAUCUGCCUAGUGGUGGGGAUAACGUUCGGAAACGGACGCUAAUACCGCAUACGUCCUACGGGAGAAAGCGGGGACCUUCGGGCCUCGCGCCAUUAGAUGAGCCUAGGUCGAUUAGCUAGUUGGUGAGGUAAUGGCUCACCAAGGCGACGAUCCGUAACUGGUCUGAGAGGAUGAUCAGUCACACUGGAACUGAGACACGGUCCAGACUCCGUACGGGAGCAGCGAGUGGGAAUAUUGGACAAGUGGGACGAAAGCCUAGAUCCAGCCAUGCCGCGUGUGUGAAGAGGUCUUACGGAUUAGUAAA
rnacentral:rRNA from 1 species